GGCCCCUUAGCUCAGCUGGAUAGAGCAUCGGAUUUCUAAUCCGGCGGUCGCAGGUUCGAACCCUGCAGGGGUCG
rnacentral:tRNA from 1 species